rnacentral:rRNA from 1 species
AUGACCGAGGAGCGGGACCGGCUAGUCACCAAGCUCGCCGAGCAGACGGAGGCUCUCAAGACGGCCCAGCGGGAUGCGAAGGCGAAGGAGGCCGAUCUCCUUGCCGAGUUUGAAACCGAGCGCGCCGCCUGGGCCGACAAGGAGGCGCAGAUGACGGCCUGCUUCAGCAACAUCGAGGACCUGGUCGACGAUUUCUUUCCGGGUCACUCCGUCGCCGCGAGCCAAGCCAUCGAGGCCCAGUGCGAGGAGCGGAGGGCGGAAGGCGCGCAGAUUGCCGUUGACGCCCCUCGGACCCUUAAUGAGCAGAUCCUCAGCAUCCAGGCCCGACUUUGGCCCGCCCAUCAAGUGGUGUGCCGUCUUCAGCGCGUCGGGGCCCAGGAGAUUGCCGCCCUCUGGCCAGGCCUGCCGGCUCUGUGCACUCCAAGCCGGAGCGCCGACUGGCUGGAGGUGGCGGCCGACUGCCUGGAGGCGUGGAAGGGCUCUAUAGCCCAGGCAGGAGCGUGCCGCGCCCUUGAGUUCGUCAUGGCGUGGUAUCCUAGGCUGGACUUAGCCCAGCUGGACAUGUUCCGGCUAGAAGCGCAGGAGGAGCUAGUAGCGGUGGAGGCCGAACUUGUUAACAGGGCGGCGGCGGUCGCCGACUUCACCGACACCAGCAUCUUCGUUCCGGAGGUGGUCGAGGAAGGCGGCGAAGCCCCGCAAGAGUGGCUCGGGCUGAACCCAGAGGACAACAAGGACUCGGCCGAAGUCAUCGACUCCAGCGAUGAAGGAGAGGAGGGGGACGAGGAGGAGGAUGAGGAGGAGGAGGAGGAGGAAGAAGACAUCGACAUCGACAUGUCGGAGGCUGGUGCGGAUGGUCAGCCCCACCCCGACCGGGCGUCAAGCAACGACCCGCGCUCCAAAGCGCCGACUGCUGCUGGAGGCGGCCAGGUGGUGACCGACCAGUCGCCCGUGCCUCCGACAGAUGCCACCGACUCUGUCAUCCAGCCCUCCAUCACCCAGACUGGCAUUGCCGACUCCAGCGCCCAGCCAGAGCCGCCUGUCGCGCCAAUCGGCGCAGCUGACACCGUCGUCCGGCCAGAGCCGCCUGCUACACCAACUGGCACCGUCGACCCCAACAUCCAGUCGGAGCCGUCUGCUGCACCAACCGGCACUGCCGACCCCAACAUCCAGCCGGAGCCGUUUGCUGUGCCAACUGGCACUGCCAACCCGAGCGCCCAGCCGGAGUCCUCCGCCGCUCCUUAG